UACGAGGGGUGCAAGCGUUGCUCGGAAUUAUUGGGCGUAAAGGGUAGGUAGGUGGUCUUAUUUGUCUGGGGUGAAAGCCUUGGGCUUAACUCAAGAAGUGCCCCAGAAACGGUAAGACUAGAGUCCUGGAGAGGGUCGUGGAAUUCCCGGUGUAGCGGUGAAAUGCGUAGAGAUCGGGAGGAACACCAGAGGCGAAGGCGGCGACCUGGACAGGCACUGACACUCAACUACGAAAGCGUGGGGAGCAAACAGG
rnacentral:rRNA from 1 species